rnacentral:rRNA from 1 species
ACGAACGCUGGCGGCAUGCCUAACACAUGCAAGUCGAACGAGACCUUCGGGUCUAGUGGCGCACGGGUGCGUAACGCGUGGGAACCUGCCCUUAGGUUCGGAAUAACUCCCCGAAAGGGGUGCUAAUACCGGAUAAUGUCUUCGGACCAAAGAUUUAUCGCCUUUGGAUGGGCCCGCGUUGGAUUAGCUAGUUGGUAGGGUAAUAGCCUACCAAGGCGACGAUCCAUAGCUGGUCUGAGAGGAUGAUCAGCCACACUGGGACUGAGACACGGCCCAGACUCCUACGGGAGGCAGCAGUGGGGAAUAUUGGACAAUGGGCGAAAGCCUGAUCCAGCAAUGCCGCGUGAGUGAUGAAGGCCUUAGGGUUGUAAAGCUCUUUUACCCGGGAUGAUAAUGACAGUACCGGGAGAAUAAGCUCCGGCUAACUCCGUG